GAGCCCGGGACAUUCUGAGAACUGAAAGAGAGCUAGCAAAGCUUUCACAGAGAACGCUAAGUGAGAAUGAGGAGGAAGGGAAGGGAGCGAAACUGGAAAGUGGCCACAUCCCAGGGGACCCCAAGCUACCCACAUAAACAGGAAAAGUAGAGUGUUUGCUGCUUAAUCACAGCUUCUAAGUCUCCAGACCUCACUUUCCAGGUUGCUGGCCUUAACAGAACUCUAGAAACACCAUUGCCAGAGACGUGGGCAGAGGACAGAUCUGGAGGAUCUCAAAGGCUCUGGGUCUAUGUUAAGAUCUUCCCAGCUUUAGUGGAACAACGCAUCAGAGGAGCCAUGAGGGAUAUUUUACAAACAUCUCCUUCAAACCAAAAGACGCACAUAAGAGCCCCCAAAAUUCCCUCCUGUUGCUAAAGAUAAGUUAAGAAGAGAAAAAGAAGAUGAGAGUUAUAAUACAAAUACAGCGUUAAAACCUUCAUUUAUGAGAGAAGUGCUGGGAAGCUGUGCAGAAAACAAAAAAGACAUCCUAUCUGUGGAAACUCCAAAAGGGCCUAUGCUGUUGAUUUUAUGGAUUUGAUGUUUCACAGACCAAACUAAGAACAUUUGAAUCCAUUCCAAUUUCACGUCGACAGGUUUUAUUUUUUACAGCCGCAGAAGCAUUGGUCUCCUUACCAAAUAUGGAUAUUGAAACCAUAUUCCAAGUCCCUGCUACAGCUGCAUGUUCAAUGUCUACUUCAGCCAGUUUUGUGAAGGAGCAAACCUAUCAUUUUUCCCUGUGUGCAUCUUCCUGCCUUGCUUGGAGUUUGUCAGAGGUUUACAGGGACACCAUGAUCUGACCCACGUGCACAGCUACAAGAACAAAUGAUUCCAGGAACAAAGAAUUCUUACACCAAGAAGUUUGCAACAACCAAGCCUGCCCUCUCCCCUUUUUGGUGUAAAAGGAGCCUGAAUUCUGACUUGGGGAAGAUGGUCCACCAGGACAUUAGUCUGCCACCUUCUUGGUCUGCCACUUUCCAAAUAAAGUCAUUAUUCCUUGCCCCAACAAUUCAUCUCCCAAUUUAUUGGCCUGUCAUGCAGUGAGCAGAAUGAGUUUGGACUUGAUUACAGUGUGAUAAUUUCUAGGUCCACCCAUGUUGCUACAAAUGGCAUUAUUUCAUUCUUUCUUAUAACUGAGUAAUAUUCCACUGUAUGUAUAUAUACCACAUCUUCUUUAUCCAGUCAUCUGUGGAUGGACAUUUAGGUUGCUUCCAUGUCUUGGCUGUUGUAAAUAGUGCUGCUGUGAACAUUGGGGUGCAGGGGUCACAUGUUAUUUCUUGUCACUUAUUAUCCUGGCUGAUAGAUAUUUCACUGGCCUUUUCAUGGACUAAGCUAUUGUAAAUAAGCCAUUUCAAUAAGUGUGGAUUUCCUUCCUGCUCAACUCCAGUGUCUCAUUAUAAUUAACCCAAGCCAGAAAUAAUUGUGCAGUACAAUGAAGUUUUGCCCCAGAAGUUCUAGGAUAAGACAAAAAAGUGGAUUUCCUUCCUUCUGCUGCUAAAUCAGAUCCUCCUUUACAAGAAUACAUAUUUAAUCCAACAUCUCAGUGGUUUAUAAGUCUCACCAAAUAUUAGAAUUAUUAUGGUCUUGUAAUAUAUAUACUGUUUUUCUUAGUACCAUCAUUGGCAUACUGUAAACAUCUUUUAUGUUUACACUGCAUUAUUUCCUUGAGUCAAAUAUUUUACUUACACAGAGAGCUCCUUCAGAGACUACUUUUUGUCAGUAUGUGUGUUUACUAUUUCCAUAUUUGUUUAUUAUACGUGUAUCUUUUCUUCUCUAUUCCUGGCAUGGAAUCCUUGUUAGAAGUCCUGUGUGAUCAAACCUGUAAGAUAGGGAAUGUUACUAACAUUUGCUAAGGCAUUUAAUUCUAAAAACAUUUGGAUGCAAUACAAAGUUUUUUAAUGAGAAAAAGAACUGUGCAGUGGAGGAGAGAAGCCUGUUUUGUGACUACAGCAGUUCUUUGACUGAAAUAGGAGAGAGAAUCACUGGUGUUUGUGUAGUGUUGCUAUGGACUUCUAUUCACUGACAUGGCAUUCCUCUACAUUCUGCUUUGCAAGACUGGAAAUUCCCCGAGAAAUCUCCAGAAAUGCUGAGUGCCACAUCAAGGAAAAGAAAACUGAAACCAGGGAGCACAAGAUGUGGGCAAGAACCUGACAAAAUAGAAUUAUGCCAUUUUCUAAAGUUAGCCUGAUUGUGAGAGAUAUCACGAUGUUAACUCUUGGACAUAAACAUACAUAUUGUUUGUUCUCAGUGUUGCUUUUUCCUUAGUCUGUAGUCAAUGAGCAAGUAUCUACUGAAUGCAUUAUUUGCUUAGCAAUGCCUGGAACACUGCGGGGUAUUCCAAAGAAGAACCUAUAGAACCCCUGCCCUCCAAGAGCCUACCGUUGAGUAGGAGGAAUAAA